AUUGCACGCUGGCGGCAGGCCUAACACAUGCAAGUUGAGCGGAGCGGCGGACGGGUGUGUAAUGCCUAGGAAUCUUCCUGGUCGUGGUGGAUAACGACCGGAAAAGGGCGCUAAUACCGCAUACUAUCAGAUGAGCCUAGGUCGGAUUAGCUAGUGGGUGGUGGAAAGGCCUACCAAGGCGACGAUCCGUAACUGGGCUGAGAGGAUGAUCAGUCAUACUGGAACUGAGACACGGUCCAGACUCCUACGGGAGGCAGCAGUGGGGAAUAUUGGACAAUGGGCGAAAGCCUGGUCCAGCCAUGCCGCGUGUGUGAAGAAGGUCUUCGGAUUGUAAAGCACUUUAAGUUGGGAGGCGUUACCAACAGAAUAAGCACCGGCUAACUUCGUGCCAGCAGCCGCGGUAAUUC
rnacentral:rRNA from 1 species